AAAAAAAAAAGGAAAUUGAAAAACUCAUUGGGUUGGUUUGUAUUUUACCUAAACCCACUAUGUUCCUUUUUUUUUUUUUUUCCUCUGUAACUGAAUUUUCAUUUGGAGUAAAUUUUACUUUUUAAUUUUCAUUUGGCUUCAAUAUUACGACGUCAUUGUUUUGGUAAUACUUCAUAAUCUACAACAAGAGUAUGUAAACGAUCUAAAACAUUUUUCUUAAGAAAUAAUAAAACAACAAUCUAAAACAUUUCCAUAUCUUCUCUUUAUAGAUAAUGUAUUGGUUUUCACAUUUGGUAACCUGAUUUCCCCAUUCCCUAUGGUUAAACUAGCUCGGAUUAUGAAAUAACUUGAUCAAUGUACAUAGUUUGGUAAGCUUAUUGGUCAAAAGUAUGUUACGUCUUCUUCUCCAAAGUAUGAUAAGUUUUUAGAUAAAAUAAAAUAAUAGUACGUUAUUUUAAGUUUUAAUUUUUAGAUGUUUACCAUAUUUUAGAUACAUGUAUCAAAUGAAGUUUUAGUAUUAGUUUAGUUUUUACUUCUCUCAACAAAUAUGUAAUAGUAUAAAGCUAAAGUUGAAUCUAGGGUGAAAUAAUUAGUUUUUUUUUUAACAGAAAAUAAAUUAAGCAGCAUCAAUUUUAAUAUCUCUAGUAUAUCGCAUGAAUUGUAACUUGAUUGGGUAAUUGGCUUAUCCUCUACAAUUGAUGUCAGUAUAAAAAAUAAAAAAAAUAACCUAAACCGAAUAAUGAAAUAAUGUAGAAUCAAACCGGAAUGAACUAAACCGGAAAUUGGAAGAGCAACGUGGGCCUUAUCUUCUUCUUCCCAACUUGCUUCUAUCUUCUUGAGAGCAAAACAAACACAAACACUCUCCUCUCACAAGCACGAUUUUGAUUUCAGACUUUUGAGAUUAACCAUCUCAUCGGAAAGAAAAACAAAAAAGUUCAGUGACCCUUUUAUGUUCGAAUCGAACAUGCUUCUUCAGACACUAUCUUCUUCGUCUCCUCCAAUUCACCGUCUCUAUCUUCACCAUUCUCAGAUUCUCCCUUCCUCUGCCUCGCCCAAGAAGAUUUCUCUUCAGGUAAACACUCCACGUUGCUCUCUUUCGCAUCAACAUUAGCCGUAGUUACUAAUCUCAGUUUAUUCUAGGACUUUCCUCUGUUUUUGUUUUACCAUUUGAGGAUCUUAAUUCGUAGUGACUCGAUUGGUUUGUGAAAUACUUGGAACCAUAGUAGAUUAUGUGGAAUCUGAACAAGAACAGAAUCAAAAUUUUGAGCUUUCUAUUGUUGAAAUUGUGUUGGCUUUUCAUUUAUCACUUUCUACUGUUUCUCUUGUGGUGGGAUGGUUGAGAC
rnacentral:lncRNA from 1 species